rnacentral:lncRNA from 1 species
AACAUAAACACGUAAACCAGUAAUGAACACCAAACUAGACAACAACAGGUUCACAAUAAUUCAAACUAUAACAAACAAAAUCGUGAUUCAUGCAUACGAAACCAUAGAAUAAAUACAUCAAAUACCAUACUGCAUUUAAAACUGUAAAAUAGAUCAAACAACAACUGACCGAAAAAUACAUCAGAUUCGGAUUCCAUUAGUAACCUUAAUUAAUUAUACACAUGUAUUAAUUCAUGAAAUGUCGUUUUAUUAUCUAUUGAGCUUUAAUACCAUGAUAGGAAAUAGGGUAG